AUUGAACGCUGGCGGCAGGCUUAACACAUGCAAGUCGAACGAGUGGCGGACGGGUGAGUAAUGUCUGGGAAACUGCCCGUUGGAGGGGGAUAACUACUGGAAACGGUAGCUAAUACCGCAUACCAUCGGAUGUGCCCAGAUGGGAUUAGCUAGUGGGUGGGGUAACGGCUCACCUAGGCGACGAUCCCUAGCUGGUCUGAGAGGAUGACCAGCCACACUGGAACUGAGACACGGUCCAGACUCCUACGGGAGGCAGCAGUGGGGAAUAUUGCACAAUGGGCGAAAGCCUGAUGCAGCCAUGCCGCGUGUGUGAAGAAGGCCUUCGGGUUGUAAAGCACUUUCAGCGGGGAGGCGGUACCCGCAGAAGAAGCACCGGCUAACUACGUGCCAGCAGCCGCGGUAAUAC
rnacentral:rRNA from 1 species